rnacentral:lncRNA from 1 species
UAGACAGACUAUGAAGAGAUACAUAGGGUGAGAAACGGAGGCCUUCAGCCAACAGCUGGGAGAAGCUGAGUCCCAUCAGCCAUUCAAAAGACUGCAGCCCCAGCCAAGAGUUUGAUGUAACCUCAGGAGAGACCCUGAGCCAGAACCACCUAGGAGAUGAUGAGCUCCUGGGCAAGACUGAGGUUUGUGUCAUUUUGCAUCCCCAGCACCGAGAAGAGUACCUGGCACUUAUUGGUGCGCAGACAAUGUUUACUGCAUGAUUAGAAGGUUUAACUGGAAAAACCUACUAACCUCUGGCCAACGAGCUAUACCUAGUGAUUCCAAAGUCCACAUAUAUUUACUCUGUUCUCACUGUACAAAGUAACCACUCUGAAGUCAAAAAAGCUGGGAUACAUGAAGACUGCCAUCCCUUGAGUCACUUGCCCUGUAGCUGCCACUGUUGGAAAAGGGCUUGCUUCUGUGUCCUUGUGCCCACUUUGAAAAUCCCUGGGAAGUCCUUGGAGUCAGAUGAGCAGGCCUCCGCCACUCUGCCAAAAAGUCUGUUCAGAAGUUUCACAUCACUAGAGAAGAGAGAAGAAGGACAUUUGUACUGGGAGGAGUCGACCGGUCCCAGUAAGGAGAAAGUAGCUACAGCGUCAUGGGUGAGCUGGGUCCCCCAAAAAGGAACUUUAAGGGAAUGGACUGAAUCAAGUCUGAGAUGUCCCCAAAGCAAGACCAAAGAACUGAGGAAGAGAAGCAUUCAUCAGAAACCAAAAUUCAGCUACAAGUGAGCAUCCAGAUGGAGGUAUUAUGAAGAGGAACUGAGACUGAGGGCAAAAGGUGCCAGCCAGAAUCCUGGAUAGGAGAGCAAGAACCAGGACCUCAUUUAAGAGACAACCUGCUUAAGGCAGAGUAAGCACAAAUGGGCACUCAACAUCAAUGAAGUAACAGCAAAGUCACAUAAUAAAAGCAUGGAAUUAAGACAAGCUGAAGAUUCGGAUGCAAUAAAACAACCACCCAUUAUUA